rnacentral:rRNA from 1 species
CGUGGGUAACCUGCCCAAGAGAUCGGGAUAACACCUGGAAACAGAUGCUAAUACCGGAUAACAACAGAUGAUGCCUAUCAACUGUUUAAAAGAUGGUUCUGCUAUCACUCUUGGAUGGACCUGCGGUGCAUUAGCUAGUUGGUAGGGUAACGGCCUACCAAGGCGAUGAUGCAUAGCCGAGUUGAGAGACUGAUCGGCCACAUUGGUACUGAGACACGGCCCAAACUCCUACGGGAGGCAGCAGCC